GUAAAUACCGUAAAUAAAAAAACAAACAUUAAAUAAAAUUAACAAUAAUCAAUGCAUUGCCGCGGUUUUAGACGACUUCAUGGCAUCAGAUACAGCUAAUAUGCAACGGUCAGGGGAAAAAUCCACAUAUGGCAAGCUGCUAAAUUGUUGCUUGCUAAUCCCAUGAAACAAUUCCGUUACCUUAUCACUAGCAGCAGAACGCCAGCUUACCCGCAUCAACAGAAUAUGAGUUACAUAUUUACAUGAAACGGUCGUGUGUACCCUGAACUGAUAGUAUUUACUCGAGAAAUAGAUGCCGGAAUGCUUGGUGGAAGCAGCCCUGAAAGAAGUUUGGAAUGCUUGAUCGUUGCUGGUGUUUCAAUAACAGAUGACAAAAGCAAGAUUAUUUUGACGGCUAUUUCUGGAACAAGAUAUCGAUCCGGAAAAAAGAAAAGACCAUCGAAAAGUAUUUUGCUGUCCAAUUCAUCAAGAAUUGCACAGCAGGAGGAAAAUCAUUCAAAGAUUUGCUCCGAACAAGUCUAAUCUGUAUUGGCUAUACAGCAACUGUUUGAGCUGAAUUUGAUCAACAUCAAGAAAGUUAGCAUCAGCGUCAGAGGACCUACUGAGCCAUUACGGACGAAUAUGAUUAUCUGAACGAGAAUUAAGCAAGCGGAAAACGAUAAAAAAAACACAUGGAUUCGGGCUCGGAGAAUUCGGUUUGGUGAAAAACGAAUCACGGAAGAAACCUCAAAAGUCUAAUGGCAGUUCUUCUGAAAUCAUAUCUCAUAAUUUGCUGCUAAAUAUC